rnacentral:lncRNA from 1 species
GAUUGUUUUAACUUUAUAUGCUUUGUUCAACGUGAAUUGAAAGUGAUUGUGGAUGAUGUGGUUCACAGAGUACAAUGAGUCUGUGUAGCUGCUUUGGAUUCUUGCUGUUUGUCCUCCACAAUCUCCCAGGCACCACAGAGGAUUUCUUCCUAGAUUCGUCUCAUUCUGCUUUUCCCAUCACCUUCGGUUUGGGAGUCAUCUUCAUGUCUGUUAUUUUAGUCGUUUUUGCUGCAUAUAAAUGGAAACAAAACAAAAACAGAAACAAAGAGAGGGAGCACCUUAAGACAACUGAGAAGAAUUCAAUCAAGGCUUUCCAUACAGGACAAAGAGACAAUGAGACCAAGAAUUUGGAGGAUGAAAUUGAUGAAAUUCAGCCUCUCCGAGACCAGAAUCAGAGCAUGGAGAACGAGCUGCAGACCUUGAAGAGAGAGCUGGAGACCAACAAAAAACAGCUGGAGAAACCUAAGAGUAUAAGAGACACCAUUGAAGGAAUGCGGGACUCUUUUUCACAACUGAAGUUCCACCUUGCCAAUCUCAGGAUGCGGAAAUUGGAAGAUGAAAAAGAUGAAAUGCAUCUCCGAAACAAGAAUCAGAGCAUGCAGAAAGAGCUGCAGACACUGAGGACAGAGCUGGAGACCAACAAAAAACAGCUGGAGAGUAUAAGAGACACCAUUGAAGGAUUUCGGGACUCUUUUCCACAACUGAAGUUCACCCUUGCCAAUCUCAGGAUGCGGAAAUUGGAGGAUGAAGUAGAUGAAAUUCAACAUCUCCGAGACCAGAAUCAGGGCAUGGAGAACAAGCUGCAGACCCCGAGGAGAGAGCUGGUGCAUGACAAAAAACAGUUGGAGGAUGAAAUCGAUGAAAUUCAGCAUCUCCGAGACCAGAAUCAGAGCAUGGGGAACGAGCUGCAGACCUUGAAGAGAGAGCUGGAGACCAACAAAAAACAGUCAGCUGACAAGGCCAGGGGGCAGACCUUUGAGGAGCUUAAGAACACCCAGUUUGAACUGGAGAAAAAGACUGCGGAGAUCAGGAACCUGCGGAGAGAGUUUGAUGACAGACUCAGGGAAGAGAAUCAGAGUAAAGAGAAAUGCCUGCAGACCCUGAAGGAGGAGCUGGAGAGCAAGAACAAGGAGCUUUGUGAGUCCAAGCUUCAGUUCGAAUCUCUCAUGAAGAAGAAUCAGGAGUUUGAGAGAAAGCUGACUGAACUUAGAGAGCUGCACAAGCAGGUGUUAAAGAAGAUGGUCGAGGAUGAGCAGCAGAGGACGGAGGAAGUACAAAAGGAAGUGGAGACCCUGAAGAUGGAGCUGGAGAAGAAGAAGGACGAGAAAAGCCAAGCAGGGGAGUCAGAUGUUCAGAAAUCUCUGAUAGUAUGUGACAGCUCUGGAGAAGAACAUUUAGUGUCAGAGGAACAGAGUAAAGCAGCGGAGAUGGCUGAAGAAUUACCAAAUGUUGCAAAAGAAGUUGUGAACUGACAAUCUGUACAACAAGCAGAAUCCAGUGAUUUGUUUGAUUUGGAGCUAUUAUGUACAUAUUCAGUGCAAAAGAAGUAGUGUGAUGCAGUUUGGGAAGUUUAAAUUGUUUGAUGACUGACUGCACUAAAAGUACAUAAACAAUUCUGAAAAAAAAAUAAAAACAUACUUGUAUUUAUACCUUAAACAGCCUUUUAAUAUAUAUGACUAUAAUAUAAUAUUCAUCACUGCUAUUUUUAAUUGCCUUACUCUAUGUUGUUACUGUAACAGUUUAAUAAAAUAAUUACUUCUGUG